GUUGAGGGCCAGGCUUGCUCUCAUGAGAACUCCUGGAGACCAAUAUUAAUCCCUUCUGAGGGUGGAGCUUCAUGGUCUAAUACCUCUUCUAAGCCUGCCUUCUUAAAGGUCUCACCACCUCAACAUUGCCACCCUGGGACCAUGCUGCUAGCACAUGAACCUUUGGGACCUUCGCACAUGGAGUUAGUUCUCAUGCACCACUACAAGCUGCUUUAGCACACCAUUGGAGUGGAAGAGGCAGGAGGCAGGAGGACAACCAGAAGGGGGGGGCAUAAUCAAGUCAGUCACCCUGUGAACAGCUGGGGUUCCGACUCCUUCGGAGUAGUACUGAGGGGUGGAGGAUAUCCUGUCUACCCCAUCUGAGGCAAGGGGCUGGGUCCCUACGCACCAACUUGCCUUCUGUGAGGGGUUGAGUCUCUUCCCUGGGGUUGGUAAUUUGCUGGCACUUCUGCCCAGGGCUCUGGAAGACAGACUCAGGACACUGGACUCAGGAGCAGCGGAGGGGCUGGAAGUUACAAGCGGGGCCAGGCGUGUAGAAGUGAUAAGUUGCCUAAUCCGCUGGUCUUCAGUGUGGCCUUUGCAAGGGGGCUCUGUGAGCAGGAAAGACUAG
rnacentral:lncRNA from 1 species